UCUCAGCUGCUGUUGCUGCUGCUGCUGUUUUUGAAAGAAAAGCCCUAAAAAAAAACUCUACCUGACCCCUACUUCUACUGACGCUAAAAUAUAUUUAACCACAUGACCUUUAGAGAAUCAGCAGGAGUACUUCCUGGCUUCUUUAAACCAGUUUUUCCUCUUGGGUUUCUGCUAUAUGUUUAUUUUAAAUGACUUCUGUUACUUUAUAGAAGAUAAGAUGUGAGGAUACACAAUGUCAAAGUUUCCAAGGUGCGUUUAAAAAAAGAAAAAAGAAAACCCCUCCCCAAAAAAGUACAGAGUGGACACUGGAAGGUACAUUUUUAAUGUACAUUUUCAUUUUUAAUCAUUUGCGGUCUUAUGAGUUCACAUUUAAUUGAAGAAUCCUUUUGGCUAAUCCUCUUUAGGCAUUGCUGGUGUUUUCUUUUUAGCUGCUGCAGCUCUUUAUUAAUCAGCAAAGACCAAUCUAAUUGACCUUUUACCCUCAGAGAAAGGAUUUACUGAGAUUUUGGAUAACAGCCUUUAAAUGGGGUUUUAACCUCACAAUAAACCAUCAGAAACUCUGAUAUUCUGAUCCUGUCAUUUCACUGAUUUCACUGAAUUAUAACAUUUAAUUUUUUUAAGGAGACACAUCCACUGAGCUAAAACCUGUGUGUGUGUGUGUGUGUGUGUGUGUGUGUGUGUCCUCAUUGUUCUUCUAAUGUGUGUCUGCAGCACCAGUCAGUGCCAGACAAUGCUUACAUGAUGAUGUCAUGCUACAAUUCCUGUAGAUUGCAUCAUUUCCUGUUUGGUGCCUAAUGGAUGGUGCCUUCUUCCAUUCAAUCAAGCAUGCAGAUGUACAUGAAAACACACACACACACACACACACACACACACACACACACACACACACACAGUCUGGUAUUAGCCGUCUUCUGAAGAUGUUUUUGUUUAUUUCUGGCUAACCACCAACCUUGUUAUAAUAAUUCUAGCUUAAAAACCUAAAAUAGAUCAUCACUGGCUGGGACGUGAAUCCUGUUAUGUGAACAGAUUUUUGUCCCCAGUAUGCAACCAGCAGCACACACAUUAGUUAAUUGACAGACACAGAAAUACACGUGCUUUGUAAUUAAUCCAUAGAUCCUAUAGCUUUAGUAAUCCAUAUGAAGAGGAUUGCAGGGGGUGGAGGAGGAUGGGGGAAGGGCUGGGUCCAUUAUUUUGUGUUUCUCCCGCACACAUGUCACAUCUGCUCAGUGCAGCUGUGUGUGGCAGUGACACCACCAACAGAGAGAGAGCUGGCCAGCUCUUUGCCAUCUCCUCCUCCUCCUUUCCUUUUGUUUCUGUGGGCUCUCCCACUGUAAUGUGGGGCUCUUACAGAUUGUUUAUAGCAGGGUUUUUUUGGUCCACGUGGAGCUUCAGUCAUAUUUCUGUCAGCUGCAAGGAAACGAGGCCAAAGCUGCAUAAAGACAGUACAGUGCAUUUCCACCCCCAGAAGUACGUGUGCACAAAUAAAUCAUCUUUCCUCAGCAGUUGGUGGCAUCGGCCUGCUCUCCUCACUCCAGUUUGGUGUUGCCUUUAAUUUCCACAUUCCUCAGAGGUUUCUGUGGGAUUGCACUCACUAAAAACAAUGCUCAGCAGCUCCUGUUGCUGCUGAGCAUCUUUAAAGCUUCUUAUGAUGCCGUCGGGCCAGAGUGGAAAAUCUGUUAAAAGGUUUUCCAUGCACAUGUCUUUUUAAGGCAAAGAUCAAACAGUCGUAUGUAUCUAAACAAGCAAGGAAAAGGAAAGGAGGAGAGCCGUUUGUGUGCGGAGCGGUCGCUUUUUUUGUCCGUGGUCUUUGAAUAUUUGCUUGUCACGGAUUAGUUAGUUUUCUUUGCUGAACAUUUUUAUUCCUAACUUGAGGCACUGAGGAGCAGAUAGGCUAAUGCAGUUUGCAGGACUCAGAGGUGUACCCUGCCAGCUCACUAAUAAAGCGUGGAAGGUUACUGCAAGGUUGGGCUGACGGUGUUGUUGUGCACAUUAGUUCUGCCUUUUUUUUUCCACUGUUCUCAACUCAGCGUUCCUAAUCAGCACAUAAAGGCGCUGCUUUCUUCAUAAGCUACAAGCUGCAUCACUGUUUGUAAAUGAGGUCUUCCUGUCUGGUCUAAUGCACUUUUUGUGCAUCCCGGAAACGAGUUGCAUUUGUCCUUCCACAUAUCUUUGCAACGUUCAAGGUUGAAUCGACUAAACAAAAGCCUUGAACGCUCAGUCAGGCUGCAGGAGAUAAGACUGACCUACAAAGUGUUGCACACGCUGGAUGUUGCAAUGUGCUGAGUGCCUCAUUUUCACUGUCAGGAAUAAUUCUUAGAGUUACGCUUAUUCUGCGCUCCCCACUGCUAAAUGAAUUUCACGGAGUUUCAAGGCUCAUGGAAGCUGUGAAUGAGGGUGAUAACUAGAAAAUAAGAUGCUCUCGAAGUCACUCACAUUUGGGUGCAAUCACUGAGUGUGCCUUUCUGGAGCUCCCCUUUCCUUUUUCACACCUACCUUCCUUCCUUCCUUCCUUAACUCCCCCCCACCCCCACACCCCCCCAUCUGUCUUUCUCUCUUCAUGCCAGCUGCAUGGGUGGGUGUGUUACAGUAUGCUGACUGCAGAGGGAAGGAGAAAGGGUGUAACAGAGAGAGCAAGAGGAGAAGAAAGGCUAGGGAUAACCAAGCCACAUGCACAUGAUGAAAAAGGCUGAAUGUGGAGAUUUUCCUGCUGCAGUCAGGCUGCUGUGGAUGACCGUCGAGAUGACUGACAGGACAGACACAACCAGCAGUCUGCCCCUCUGCACACACAAGCACCCACUUAUAUGCAGAAAUAUAGUCCAAAAAUCACUCAACGACUGAAUACUUCAGUCUGACACGUUAUCUUAUCAUAUCAGAAAUGCUUUAUUUUAUCCAUCUAAAAAUAUCCUGCAUAUCACACUGUGAGCAUCUUUUAACAUCACUGCCACUAUUCGCCACUGUUGCUCCUGCCUGAUAUACAAAAAAAAAGGCAUUAAUGGCUUGAUUAUUUGAUCAGAUGUGUUUUAUUGUCCAGAAAAGCUGCUGAGUUUCUGGUGCCUCUAAUCUGCUUGCUUUUCUUUUAUGGCUCAAGUGAAAUGGACUCAGCUCCUAAUGUGAGACAUAAAAGCCAGACGAAGCAUAAGGGAGACACAGAUACAACAGUAAGAUGCACAUCUUCACCCGCUAUACAAGGGGGAAAAAAAAGAACUAAUAAUAUAACAUAAGGGAACUUUAUAUGAUAUGAUUUUAAGCUGUGGCUUUAGGUUGAAAUGAUUCUCUUGAACAAAGGACGACGGGAUGUUUAUCUUCAUCGGAUGUUUUAUUAAAUGCGGCACAGCUCAAAGGGAUUGAAUUUUUAUUUAAGUAUAUUCUGACUUCACUGAGAGUGGCUCCACAGUGUAGUGGUUUACACGUUUGUUUAAGAAGCAAAAGAUCCCCGGAGGAGGCACGAAACACUUUUGGGGCUGGAUUUGCCAAAUCAAGCUCGUAGAGACUUAGGAGGUAAAAAAUGGAAAAAAUAUACAUCAGAAAAUCAGUCAAAAGCAGCUUUUUCCACCCUGCUGAUUUCACUCCUGUAUCCCAAAAAUAA